ACCCUUUAAUUUGCUGGCUUUGUUCUCGUUGGUCGCCGUUCGUGUUGGGAUAAAAGACAACAGAAGUACAACACAAAACCAUUUCAUCUUUAUUAUGUUCUUGUCUACAUCCAAGUACAAACACUAAAUACAAAACACAAAACUUAAAUAUAUUUUACUGUACAAUACUUCUUUUGCCGGCAACGGCCAGCCCAUACUAUUA